GCCCCCGUUGUCUAAUGGUUAUGACGUCAGACUUCUAUUCACGGAGAAUCUGGAGGUUCCGGGAUCGACUCCCGGCGGGGGUU